GUCUAUGGCCAUACUACCCUGAAUGUGCCCGAUUUCAUGUGAUCUCAGAAGCUGAGCAGGGUCAGGCCAGGUUAGUACUUGGAUGGGAGAGAAGUACACAUUAAAAUAAGCA
ensembl:rRNA 5S_rRNA 5S ribosomal RNA